rnacentral:rRNA from 1 species
UAACGCGUAAGGAACUUGCCUCUUGGUCUGGGACAACUGUUGGAAACGACAGCUAAUACCAGAUAUUAUGAGAUUCUCGCAUGAGAAACUUAUGAAAGCUAUAUGCGCCAAGAGAGAGCCUUGCGUUCCAUUAGCUAGUUGGUGGGGUAACGGCCCACCAAGGCGACGAUGGAUAGCCGGCCUGAGAGGGUGAACGGCCACAAGGGGACUGAGACACGGCCCUUACUCCUACGGGAGGCAGCAGUGGGGAAUAUUGGACAAUGGGCCACAAGCCUGAUCCAGCAAUUCUGUGUGCACGAUGAAGGUCUUCGGAUUGUAAAGUGCUUUCAGUUGGGAAGAAGAAAGUGACGGUACCAACAGAAGAAGCGACGGCUAAAUACGUGCCAGCAGCCGCGGUAAUACGUAUGUCGCAAGCGUUAUCCGGAUUUAUUGGGCGUAAAGCGCGUCUAGGCGGAAAAAUAAGUCUGAUGUUAAAAUGCGGGGCUCAACUCCGUAUUGCGUUGGAAACUGUUUUUCUAGAGUACUGGAGAGGUGGGCGGAACUACAAGUGUAGAGGUGAAAUUCGUAGAUAUUUGUAGGAAUGCCGAUGGAGAAGUCAGCUCACUGGACAGAUACUGACGCU